GUAGCAACAAAAAUAACUUUAUGGUUAGGA
rnacentral:piRNA from 1 species